UACGUAGGGUGCGAGCGUUGUCCGGAAUUAUUGGGCGUAAAGGGCUCGUAGGCGGUUUGUCGCGUCGGGAGUGAAAACCCAGGGCUUAACCCUGGGCUGGCUUCCGAUACGGGCAGACUAGAGGUAUGCAGGGGAGAACGGAAUUCCUGGUGUAGCGGUGAAAUGCGCAGAUAUCAGGAGGAACACCGGUGGCGAAGGCGGUUCUCUGGGCCGGAACUGACGCUGAGGAGCGAAAGCGUGGGGAGCGAACAGG
rnacentral:rRNA from 1 species